UAUAUGUUGAUGUAAAAUGCAUAUUGGACUUUGAUUCCAAAAGACUUGGUGUGAUUCCAUUACAUAUAA
rnacentral:tRNA from 1 species